GCUGGAUGUGACCAGAAGCUGACUGACGAAUUACGCAGUGCACUCUCUCUCAUCUUCCCUGACUCAUUUCUUUCCUGCGCGAGCGUCACCGUGCCGAGCCGCGUAAGCCAUAAAUCAACCGUAUAGGAGACAAACCCUUUUUUCCCCGGACCCUCUCGCUCAUUACAGAGGAUCAGAUAAGCGCACUCUGGCGAAGACCGAGGCAAAUUGUAUUAGUCUGGCCGACGGAAGGUGAAGACGUAGCAGAAUAUACAUGCUGGUGCGCGGGACGGAAUCGAGUACAAAAUGAAGCCAUCCGUUCUAGAAAGUUCCAGAAGCACAGCAAUGAGCCUGUGCUCAUCUGAAGUGGCAGACAGAGUGAGUCAGGGAUGGAGAGGAAUACAGAAGAGAGAAUACAUCAUCCAUGUCGGACAAAGCCCAUCUGAAUAAAUGCUGCAACACAAACCAUGAUACGCCAUUUUAACUGUACCAUUAUGUACUGAAUGUUCAAUCAAAAAAGACAAACCAUACAGUAACUUCACGCAUACCCAUUGUCAAAUGUUGUCUAUACUACGUCCAAAUGAUGAAUUUAACAGAAACAGAUACAAAAUAUAGCAUAUAUAUAGCAUGUUCCUGUUUUGAAUUGUAGAGGGAACAAAGUUUCAUGAAUGAUUGCUACAGCAUUGUGUGCACUGCAAUUAUGUCUCAAUGUGCAAAUUAGUAAAAAUAUUGUAUUUACAGGAAAGGCACUUAUAGAAAAUAUAUGGAAGGUAACUUUCGGGAGAAUAUCCAAAUUAUAGCAACACAAUUAUAUUUCAUAAUGUCUAAACUCUAGUUGAAAUACAUAUAAUAAUUGGACUCAAAAUUGACAUUAAUCUGUUAAAUGCAUCUUCAUUAGAAAUUGCUUGCAUUCUGGUAUAUGUUGUUCUUUUUCUGAAAAUAAAGAUAAAUAAAACGUUGUUUUCUCUGCACAUAU